rnacentral:lncRNA from 1 species
GCCAAUAGUCUCACCUUACCAGACUACAGCAGUCUUAGAAAACCUAAUGAGAACCAGUUUUAGUGGCCGCUGGCAAACUUUCUCAGACUUGCUGAUUGGUCAGUGGCCGAGAGCUGUAGCCAAUCAGUGCGGUGGUUGGGCCCGCAUUGCGGGCCGAAGGUCCGUGUGGGCAUCUGGCCGGCACUGUGGCCUGCAGAGACUCGAGGUGUGGAGGGCAGAGCCAGGGAGGAGUGAGCAUGUCUUGGGACCUGACAGCCAGGCGGCUGGCACCACCAUCACCGCUAUCGCUGCUCCUGGUGCUGGUGCUGCUGUCCGGAGCUGGGGCUCUGCGUCCUGAAGAGCUCUUUCCUUACGGGGAGUCGUGGAGAGACCGGCUGCCGCGGGAGGGCGAUGAUGAAAGCUCCGCGGCUGUGAAGCUAGCAGUACCUCUACGCUUCUACGGUGUCCAGUUCAGCAACCUCUACCCAUCGCCCCAUUCCUGGCUGACAUCCACUCGAGUCACAGCAGUGGCCGGAUCCUGUAUGGAGGACACCUCCUGGGCUGUGCUGAGUCUGGCUGCUUGCUACCUGUGCACAGGCUUCCUGCUGACCAGGUCCAGCUUCCCCCCUACCCACUUCUUCCUGGCCACCUGGGAGCAAGUGGGCCCCUAGGAGGAGGACAGUCUUGGGGCUGCGUGGUCUGGAGAGGAUAUGGAGACUUCAAUGAUUUUAAUCUAGAGGAUGCGCUGAAAGAAACUUCCUGAGUAAAGCGUGACUCAAACAAACGAGUCCACCAAGCAAACACAAGUGUUCGGCCAUGCACCACACUCACAAUCUUGCCUUCAGAAAAGUACAUGCAUAUGAGACUAGCUGCACCUCCAUCUACCUGUUAGUUCUGUUGUGCAAGGCUUGUGUCGUCUCGUCAUACGUGUGUCAUCUUCCUUUUUCAUUUAGUCUAUGUCGAAACCACAAGAGAACGUGCAUCUGCCUUCACCUUUUUUCUGCUGUACAAAAAGAGAACUCCUACCCGUUUCAUUCCUCUCACUGUUUUGUUUUGAGACAGGGUCUCUUGAUUUAGCCCGAGUUGUCCUGAAAUUCUCUGUGCUGACAAGGCCGGCUUUGACUUGGAUCCAGUGCUAGAACAACAGUGACUCUUGUCCACUGAUGCAUUUCUAGCUUCAGAACCCAUGACUUUUUAUGAUUCUUCAGCGUGAUCCCCACAAUGGCCUCGGGGACCGAUACCGAGACCAUUCUCACGAUGUGACUUCUGUAAACCAUAAAGCAGCCAAUGUGUUUUACAAUCUGCUUCCUUUCAUCCUCCCACCUCCCUUCAGAGAGCCACUUUAGCACCACGACUAGGAGGACAGGAACUACCAAAGCCCCAUCAAAUCCAGCAGAGAUGGGACCACAUCACCACUACUACAGUGAGAGGGCCAGGAACAACUAGAGCACCGUCAAAUCCUAUGGAACUUGAUGGGUUUGACUUGGAAGACUCCUUGGAUGAUCGGAAUGAUCUAGAUGGCCCCAAAAAGCCAAGUACAGGAGAAGGAGGAGGUUGGUCAGACAAGGAUCUUGAAGAUAUCUUGGGAGACGGGGAAUAGAAACCUGACAAGAAUAAAGUGGAUGGACUGCCAGACCGAAGGCUUCAUGAAAGAACUGUGCUGCUGUGAACGUCUGUAUAUGGGCGUAUAGAAGAUUUCACACAGGCAUAGUUUUUAACUGUCUUGAGUACUUGUGGGCAUUGGCAUCCGCUCAGCAUCUGCUAGGGCCUCUGUGCUGGGUCCAGACAUGGCUCCGUUUCACUUGUGGGUGCCCCUUUAAUACCCGAACAAUAUAUUAUAUAUUGUUUCUUUACUAAUCUCACUGCACUUGCCCAAAAUUCUCCUCCUGAGACUUAACCAGAGAACAGAGUCUCUGCUGGGCUUUUCUGAGACUUCCUUUGUCGGUGCAAUGAAUCUGAGUCUUCACCUUAGCCUCAGGUAGACUCUUCAGACAGGGGCAAAAAGCAGCCACAUUCUUCACCAAAACACCACAAAAACAAUCUCCAGGCCACACACUGAAAUAUUCUCCCUGAAGCCUCCUGGGCCAGGUCUAUGCAGUUAAAAUCACUCACAGCCACAAAGUCUUCCUGCCAGGAUAGCUCAUUGGGCCCCACUCAAACCAUUUCUUGGCUUUCCAAAUCCAAAGUCACAAAAUUCACGUUCUUCCAAAUAAAGUAUGGUGAGGCCUAUCAGUAAUACCCAGGCCUUGGUAUCAACUUCUGACUUACUUAGGGUUUUACUGCUGCGGACAGACAGUGUGACCGAGGCAGCUCUCACAAGGACAACAUGUGACUGGGGCUGGCUUACAGGGUCAGAAGUUCAUUCCGUCAACAUCAUGGCAGGAGCAGGGCAGCGUCCAGGCACGAUGGUGCAGGAGGAGGUGAGAGUUCUCCAUCCUCAUCUAAAGGCUGCUAGCAGAGCACUGAGAGACUUACAACCCACACCCACAGGGCUAUGCCCACUCCAGCAGGGCCAAACCCUCUCCAGCAGGGCCAAACCCACUCCAGCCAGGGUCACACUUACUCCAGCAAGGCCACAACCACACCCACUCCAGCAGGGCCACAACCACCCCCACUUAUUUCUGGCUCUUAUUUCCUUUAAGUAUGAUAUCUGGGACCUUUUGGUGGGACACCAUCUAGCUCCUUCCCUCUAUGUCUAUUGUCUGACCUUGGUGCUCCAAGCUGUCCUUGUAUGUCAGUUUAUGGCUGGGUUUUGCUUCUAGUUGCUUGAAUGUUUUGUGUUUCAUGUUUAAAAGAAAAACAUGGUUAAAACUUUAAAUGCUGGUUGAUUCCUCCCUUUAUUAGUUUUAAGUCCUUUCAGGAAAGGAACAAAUAAAUAAAAAGCAGUUUAAAUUGACCUUUGGAGAUCUGCAUCAUAGAUAACUGGUUAUCUCUGGUGUCACAGUCAUGCAUGUCUCUGACUGGAUCUGGCAUCAAUGGAGGAAUGUAGCUAGGAGCCUAGGUCUGUCCACUGGGGAAGCUCCCCAGGAGGCUGGCUAAAUGUUUACACUAGCUGAUCUUAAAUGUGCCAGCAGCCUCAAAGCUCCUAUGGUAAUGGAGCUGUUAGCUGUUUCUCUUAGAGAAAUCUUUAACUGUGAUUAUUGGAUUCAACAGGUAACAAGGUGCUUCUUUUAAAAUGACAGCCAGAAAAAGUAAAAAUGGUAUUUGAUCUAAAUACUAAAGAUAUGUGUUGUCACUUCAUUUUUUUUCUGUUUGGUUUUAAAUGUACAAUGCGCUCUACAUGUCUUGGCUAUAGGUGACUGGCUUUUAAGUUAUUGGGUAUGGUUAAAAGUUUGUAACAUUGGUAACAGAAAGUGGCUUAAAACUGGAGUCAUUCUAGACAACACGUGGCAUGAGCCAACAUAGGGAAACAGGUCUAGAUUGGGAUCAUAUUUUAAUAUAACUCUUAUCAUGGAAA